rnacentral:rRNA from 1 species
UACGUAGGCAGCAAGCGUUGUUCGGAGUUACUGGGCGUAAAGAGUGCGUAGGCGGUCCUGUAAGUUUGGUGUGAAAUCUCCCGGCUCAACUGGGAGGGUGCGCCGAAGACUGCAGGGCUUGAGUAUGGGAGAGGUAAGCGGAAUUCCUGGUGUAGCGGUGAAAUGCGUAGAUAUCAGGAGGAACACCGAUGGCGAAGGCAGCCCCCUGGGUCAAGAUUGACGCUCAUGCACGAAAGCGUGGGGAGCAAACAGG